rnacentral:rRNA from 1 species
UACGAAGGGGACUAGCGUUGUUCGGAAUCACUGGGCGUAAAGCGCACGUAGGCGGAUAUGUCAGUCAGGGGUGAAAUCCCGGGGCUCAACCUCGGAACUGCCCUUGAUACAGCAUAUCUUGAGUCCGAUAGAGGUGGGUGGAAUUCCUAGUGUAGAGGUGAAAUUCGUAGAUAUUAGGAAGAACACCGGUGGCGAAGGCGGCCCACUGGAUCGGUACUGACGCUGAGGAGCGAAAGCAUGGGGAGCGAACAGG